GCCGGGUGUGAUGGCACACACCUGUAGUCCCAGCUAUUUGGGGGGCUGAGGCAGGAGAAUCACUUGAGCCUAGGAGGCGGAGGUUGCAGUGAACCGAGAUUGCGCCACUGCACCCCAUCCUGGGCGACAGAGUGAGACCCUGUCUCAA
ensembl:misc_RNA Metazoa_SRP Metazoan signal recognition particle RNA